CGACCGGCGCACGGGUGAGUAACACGUAUCCAACCUGCCGAUGACUCGGGGAUAGCCCUUCGAAAGAAAGAUUAAUACCCGAUGGCAUAGUUCUUCCGCAUGGUAGAACUAUUAAAGAAUUUCGGUCAUCGAUGGAGAUGCGUUCCAUUAGCUUGUUGGCGGGGUAACGGCCCACCAAGGCAUCGAUGGAUAGGGGUUCUGAGAGGAAGGUCCCCCACAUUGGAACUGAGACACGGUCCAAACUCCUACGGGAGGCAGCAGC
rnacentral:rRNA from 1 species